rnacentral:rRNA from 1 species
GUACGAGCGGCGACGGGUGAGUAACACGUGGGUGAUCUGCCCUGUACUUCGGGAUAAGCCUGGGAAACUGGGUCUAAUACCGGAUAUGAGCCGAGGUUGCAUGACCUCGGUUGGAAAGAUUUAUCGGUACAGGAUGGGCCCGCGGCCUAUCAGCUUGUUGGUGGGGUAAUGGCCUACCAAGGCGACGACGGGUAGCCGACCUGAGAGGGUGACCGGCCACACUGGGACUGAGACACGGCCCAGACUCCUACGGGAGGCAGCAGUGGGGAAUAUUGCACAAUGGGCGGAAGCCUGAUGCAGCGACGCCGCGUGAGGGAUGACGGCCUUCGGGUUGUAAACCUCUUUCGACAGGGACGAAGCGCAAGUGACGGUACCUGUAGAAGAAGCACCGGCCAACUACGUGCCAGCAGCCGCGGUAAUACGUAGGGUGCGAGCGUUGUCCGGAAUUACUGGGCGUAAAGAGCUUGUAGGCGGUUUGUCGCGUCGUUUGUGAAAACUUGGGGCUCAACCCCAAGCUUGCAGGCGAUACGGGCAGACUAGAGUACUUCAGGGGAGACUGGAAUUCCUGGUGUAGCGGUGAAAUGCGCAGAUAUCAGGAGGAACACCGGUGGCGAAGGCGGGUCUCUGGGAAGUAACUGACGCUGAGAAGCGAAAGCGUGGGUAGCGAACAGGAUUAGAUACCCUGGUAGUCCACGCCGUAACGGUGGGUACUAGGUGUGGGUUUCCUUCCACGGGAUCCGUGCCGUAGCUAACGCAUUAAGUACCCCGCCUGGGGGAGUACUGCGCAGGCUAAACUCAAAGAUGACGGGGCCGCACAGCGGCGGAGCAUGUGGAUAAAUUCGAUGCAACG